GACGAACGCUGGCGGCGUGCCUAAUACAUGCAAGUCGAACGAGAGCGACCGGUGCUUGCACUGGUCAAUCUAGUGGCGAACGGGUGAGUAACACGUGGGUAACCUGCCCAUCAGAGGGGGAUAACAUCCGGAAACGGAUGCUAAAACCGCAUAGGUCUUCGAACCGCAUGGUUUGAAGAGGAAAAGAGGCGCAAGCUUCUGCUGAUGGAUGGACCCGCGGUGCAUUAGCUAGUUGGUGAGGUAACGGCUCACCAAGACCGUGAUGCAUAGCCGACCUGAGAGGGUGAUCGGCCACAUUGGGACUGAGACACGGCCCAAACUCCUACGGGAGGCAGCAGUAGGGAAUCUUCCGCAAUGGACGCAAGUCUGACGGAGCAACGCCGCGUGAGUGAAGAAGGUUUUCGGAUCGUAAAACUCUGUUGUUAGAGAAGAACAAGUGCUAGAGUAACUGUUAGCGCCUUGACGGUAUCUAACCAGAAAGCCACGGCUAACUACGUG
rnacentral:rRNA from 1 species